rnacentral:rRNA from 1 species
GCCAGAGGGUGCAAACGUUGUUCGGAUUUACUGGGCGUAAAGCGCGUGUAGGCGGCUUUGCAAGUCGGAUGUGAAAGCCCACGGCUCAACCGUGGAAGUGCAUCCGAAACUGCAUGGCUGGAGUCUCGGAGAGGAAGGUGGAAUGCUUGGUGUAGAGGUGAAAUUCGUAGAUAUCAAGCAGAACACCUGCGGCGAAGGCGGCCUUCUGGACGAUGACUGACGCUGAGACGCGAAAGCGUGGGGAGCAAACAGG